rnacentral:rRNA from 1 species
UACAGAGGGUGCGAGCGUUGUCCGGAAUCACUGGGCGUAAAGGGCGCGUAGGCGGCUUUUCACGCGUGCGGUGAAAGCCCGGGGCUUAACUCCGGGUCGGCCGUGCGAACGGGGAGGCUUGAGUCUGGUAGAGGUCGAUGGAAUUCCGGGUGUAGCGGUGGAAUGCGUAGAGAUCCGGAAGAACACCGGUGGCGAAGGCGGUCGACUGGGCCAGAACUGACGCUGAGGCGCGACAGCGUGGGGAGCAAACAGGAUUAGAAACCCCCGUAGUCC